ensembl:lncRNA
CCACCGCCGCCGCCAUACGGGUCGGAGAGGCUGUGCGCCGCUCCCAGGGGAGAUCCGGUUCCCAUCUGGCCCAGCCCGCCCUGCCUUGUCCUGCCCGCAACUCCGGGGCAGCCUGACUCGAUUCCGGGUAACAGGGGCCGGCCGAGCAGGCUCCACUAGGUGGUAUAGGGGGCUGUGGCCGGAACAGGGGCCCUUCUGGAGGUGGACAGCCAGCUUCCAGUCCGGCUCUGUCCCAGCGACUUCUGUGGCCUUGGGCAAGUCAUUGCCGGGCCACUCCUGGGUUUUCCUACUUGCACAAUGAAGGGGGUUGGUCUGGCCACCCUCUCCUCCUCAGUUGCCAAAUCUUGGUUUCUGGGCUUCUAGCAAUACGUUUGAGCCCCUCCCCCCAAACCUGACGGGAAGAUGGAGGUCCUCAAGGGGUUGGAGCAACAGCUGUGAGGGGUGGAAAAUGGGGGGGGGGGUGGGGCUGGAACCAGGAUGGACAGCAAGUCCUCUCCUCCAGGUCUCUUUGGUGCUGACAUCCACAGGGUCCACUCCCUGCCAUCUCCCUGGCCCUCUUUCAGUCUUCCCAUGUCUGAGACAGACAGACUGUCAGACUGACUGAAAAGGACAAACACAGGGUCUGGGGGAGCCCUUGCCUGUUGGGGUCCCCAUGCACAGCGGCUUACCACCUUUCCCGAACCUCAUAAUCCCAAAGCCUCUUGUUUCAGCGAGCUGGGGUGGGGGCGAGUCUAAGUGGCCCUCAGCUCAGGCAGAAGUCCAUGGGUUAUUAGCCACAACCCAAACCUGGGACAGAUCAUCUCGCUUUCCAGUGACUUGGAUCUGACAAGGGGGAGGGGGAGGGAGAUUACCCUAGACCCCUGGCCUCUGGCUGGGAGAGCCCAGAACUGAGGGCUCCCCACAAGGGCUGGGGUCAGCUGAGCCCCUAGCUGAGUGCUCUCCUGUCACUCCAGGUGUCCUUCAUUCCUCCUCCCAAAAUUGAUGGUGAUGCUGAGCCAGCCCCAGAGGGAGGGGCCAGCUGUAGGCUGGGGUGGAAGGAAGUCUCCUUGGACAGCACUGGACAGACGGACAGAGGGAAAAACUGAGAAGUAGAGUGCAAGUUCAUCCAACUCAUAAACAGUGGAGCUUUGAUUUGAACCCAGGCGGCAGUGUGACUCCAGAGCCCACACUCUCAACCCUUUGCUGUCUGUAUGCUCAUGGGGACAUGGAGCUCCAGCUCACCACGUGCGGUUCACUCACUCAUUCAAGUUUCAUUGAGUGCCUACGAUGUGUCCAAUGUGCCCUGUGUGAGGUUUGAGGAUAAAGAUUGAGAACAUGGCUGACACAGCCCCUCUCCCCUUAAACAGAGCUGACGCUCUGGUAUAAAGAAAGACACUCAGUACACCCUUAAACACCCAUAAACAAAAGGUGAAAAAGAACUUUAUAGAGUGAUAAACAAUAUAAAGAAAGCAAGGUGAUAUCAUGGACGGUAAAUGCCAGGAACAGGGUCACCCAGGAGGUAAUAAAGGAGCCAGCUGUGCCAAGAUGUGACUGAGACACUCCAGGAAACAGGAAGAGCAAAUGCAAAGACUCUGAGGUGGGAGCAAGCACUGGGAUUGGGAACAGGAGCCUAGGACCAUCAGUCAAAACAGAAGCCCAGGUUCACAUCUCAGUUGGGCCACUUCUCAGCUGUGACACCUCCUCGCCAACGUUCCGGAACGCUUCUGGGUCGCCGCAUCUGUGAAAUGCAAGGCAGUCGCGGCGCCUGCCUCAUCGGCUGGGGGCGAGAAUGAGCUGAGCGCACGCACGUAGAAGCUCUGAGCAGAGCGCCUGGCCUGAACUUCAAGGCGCUCGGUGAUCAGCCGCCGGCUCUCAGCAGACGUCGGGACCGAGGCCCCCAGACCCUGGAGCUCUAUCUGGCGGCUGGCAGCGCCGCGUUCCGGCCGCGCUCGGGUUGAAAUGGUCUCCCUCGCCACGGUGGGGAGCCACUCCCUUUGUUACUAUUAUUCCUAAACGAUUUGUAAACCCGCGCUCUACCUGGGGCGGUUCAGGUUUCCUGCGCUCAGCGCCGCCUUGCGGGAAGUCCUGGUCCUCGCUUCCUCCCGGCCCCUCCACGACGGAAACUCCGGGAGCGGGAGCGCAGCGCAGGGUCUGGGAACUCAAACUUGUGAGGAACGGGGCUGCGAUGGACCGAUCCUCCAGGAGAAGAGGACUGAGGGGCUUGAGGAAAGUGGCCUGCGAAGAGCCUUGUCUACCUCCGCUCUAGCGUCUCCCCCUCGACCGACCUAGGGCUGAAGGAGAGGUGUUGUUUAGACGCUGGAAAGAACUUGCGCGCGCCUCGAGCUGGGAAUGCGCUGUCUUAGGCCCCAGAGUGACCUGGUACCUCCGUCCCUGAGGGUCUGGGCCAGGGAGAGCGCUUUCUGUCCCGAGGUCGGGUGCGCCUUUCCUGGGUCAGGCCCCUAAAAGAAAAAAAGCGGAGUCAGCCUUGGCUGCGGCAGGCGUGGGACGUGUGCCUCAGCACUUU